GGUGUAUGUACCAGUUUCAGACGCCAAACCUGCUCUUCCACUCCUAAUUUUAAAAAAGAUAUAGCAAUACAAAGCAAUCAUGAUUGCCAGCGGAGGAAGAAAACAGCCCUCAAAGAUGAAGUGGGUCAGGUAUGUAACAGGGAUGACAGCAAUGAACUGACAGUCUAUGGAGGUGGAGUUGUAAUGUGCCAAUGUGUCAUGGUUGUACCAUCCAAACAUGGGUAAGAAGCCCAGUACAGAUGCCAGUAUCCAGCACACAGCAGCA